UCACUUCAGCAGUGCAUAUACUAAAAUUGGAACGAUAGAGAAAAGAAUAGCACAACCCUUGCUCAAGGAUGACCCAGAAAUUCAUGAAGUGUCCCAAAUUUUU
rnacentral:snRNA from 1 species